rnacentral:rRNA from 1 species
CACGCAGGCGGUUUGUUAAGCCAGAUGUGAAAGCCCCGGGCUCAACCCGGGAACUGCAUUUGGAACUGGCAGACUAGAGUCUUGGAGAGGGGGUAGAAUUUCCGGUGUAGCGGUGAAAUGCGUAGAGAUCGGAAGGAAUACCAGUGGCGAAGGCGGCCCCCUGGCCAAAGACUGACGCUCAGGUGCGAAAGCGUGGGGAGCAAACA